rnacentral:rRNA from 1 species
CGGAUAAUAUUUUGAACCGCAUGGUUCAAAAGUGAAAGACGGUCUUGCUGUCACUUAUAGAUGGAUCCGCGCUGCAUUAGCUAGUUGGUAAGGUAACGGCUUACCAAGGCAACGAUGCAUAGCCGACCUGAGAGGGUGAUCGGCCACACUGGAACUGAGACACGGUCCAGACUCCUACGGGAGGCAGCAGUAGGGAAUCUUCCGCAAUGGGCGAAAGCCUGACGGAGCAACGCCGCGUGAGUGAUGAAGGUCUUCGGAUCGUAAAACUCUGUUAUUAGGGAAGAACAUAUGUGUAAGUAACUGUGCACAUCUUGACGGUACCUAAUCAGAAAGCCACGGCUAACUACGUGCCAGCAGCCGCGGUAAUACGUAGGUGGCAAGCGUUAUCCGGAAUUAUUGGGCGUAAAGCGCGCGUAGGCGGUUUUUUAAGUCUGAUGUGAAAGCCCACGGCUCAACCGUGGAGGGUCAUUGGAAACUGGAAAACUUGAGUGCAGAAGAGGAAAGUGGAAUUCCAUGUGUAGCGGUGAAAUGCGCAGAGAUAUGGAGGAACACCAGUGGCGAAGGCGACUUUCUGG